rnacentral:rRNA from 1 species
GGGGAAUAUUGGACAAUGGGGGCAACCCUGAUCCAGCCAUGCCGCGUGAAUGAUGACGGCCUUCGGGUUGUAAAGUUCUUUUGGUGGGGACGAUAAUGACGGUACCCACAGAAUAAGCUCCGGCUAACUUCGUGCCAGCAGCCGCGGUAAUACGAAGGGAGCUAGCGUUGUUCGGAAUUACUGGGCGUAAAGGGCGCGUAGGCGGUAAGAUUAGUCAGGUGUGAAAUCCCUGGGCUCAACCCAGGAACUGCGCUUGAUACUAUCUUGCUUGAAUUCGGUAGAGGUGAGUGGAAUUCCCAGUGUAGAGGUGAAAUUCGUAGAUAUUGGGAGGAACACCGGUGGCGAAGGCGGCUCACUGGACCGACAUUGACGCUGAGGCGCGAAAGCGUGGGGAGCAAAC